rnacentral:Y_RNA from 1 species
GGCUGGUCUGAAGGUAGUGAGUUCUCUUAAUUGAUUGUUACAGAGUGAACUCCUUGUUCUACUCUUUCCCCCUUCUCACUAUUCCACUUGACUAGUCUAAA